rnacentral:rRNA from 1 species
CCUACGGGAGGCAGCAGUGAGGAAUAUUGGACAAUGGGCGCAAGCCUGAUCCAGCCAUGCCGCGUGCAGGAAGACGGUCCUAUGGAUUGUAAACUGCUUUUGUACGGGAAGAAACACUCCUACGUGUAGGAGCUUGACGGUACCGUAAGAAUAAGGAUCGGCUAACUCCGUGCCAGCAGCCGCGGUAAUACGGAGGAUCCAAGCGUUAUCCGGAAUCAUUGGGUUUAAAGGGUCCGUAGGCGGUUUAGUAAGUCAGUGGUGAAAGCCCAUCGCUCAACGAUGGAACGGCCAUUGAUACUGCUAGACUUGAAUUACUAGGAAGUAACUAGAAUAUGUAGUGUAGCGGUGAAAUGCUUAGAUAUUACAUGGAAUACCAAUUGCGAAGGCAGGUUACUACUAGUGGAUUGACGCUGAUGGACGAAAGCGUGGGGAGCGAACAGGAUUAGAUACCCUGGUAGUCCACGCCGUAAACGAUGGAUACUAGCUGUUCGGGGCAACCUGAGUGGCUAAGCGAAAGUGAUAAGUAUCCACCUGGGGAGUACGUUCGCAAGAAUGAAACUUAAAGAGUAGACGCGNGAGAGAGCGACGACGACGACGAGGAGGAGGAGG